CGCGUAGGCGGAUUAAUAAGUCAGAGGUGAAAUCCUGCAGCUUAACUGCAGAACUGCCUUUGAAACUAUUAAUCUUGAGUAUGGAAGAGAGAAGCGGAAUUCCAGGUGUAGUGGUGAAAUACGUAGAUAUCUGGAAGAACACCAGUUGCGAAGGCGGCUUCUUGGUCCAUUACUGACGCUCAGGCGCGAAAGCGUGGGUAGCAAACA
rnacentral:rRNA from 1 species